CGUGCUUUCGCCAAUAUCUCUGAAUACAGAAUUAACCUAACAAAAUCCAAAAUUUGACCAAUCCACUUAGACCACAACACCCUAGCCCACUGUUACGGUUCAUCCCGUGCCAUCCAGAAGGCUAGGUGUGGUCACCCCUCAGGUGCCUUACAGGGGAUUUGAUCCUGGGUCCUUCAGUAUCCUGUGCCUGCUUUCCUGCCUCUGAG